GGCAGCCCUUCGGGUGGGAGCGCAGAAUAACACACAUCGACCCUCGACGGCUCAGAGUAAACCGCUGGGAGUCCUGACGUCGGGGAGGCUGCACAGAUGGGUCUCAGCCCCCAAGCUUACAAAUCCUCCGCCCGAGCUCAGAGGGGCCCCUGCCUGCCGCUCCCCUCAGAGGACGGCGCCCCUGAAGUCAGGAGUCCUCCGACCAGGUGCUUGCGGGAGGCUGCUCCUCCAAGCAGAGGAAAGCGAAGGACACCGCCAUUGAAAUGGUUGCCUGACGUCCGGUGUGACCCGAUGGAUUAAUCCGCAGCAUCCCAGAAGCUCACACCGGCCCAGAAGGACACCUUCCGCACCGGCCUCUGCCCUGCCUUCUCAGAGCCUCAUUCGUCUUUCAACACCUCACCCCAGACCCUGGGGCCCAUCCCCCAGCCCGCAGCCUGUGCGUGUUUCCAUAGCAACCUGCCCCUGCUGCUGUGGUGACAUCCCAGCGAUGUGAGCUCUUUGAAGGCCGCCCGACCUGGAUCGCUCCGCAGAGUGGGGAGGAGGGGUGCCCGAUGACACUGAGCACAGCCUCCCUUGGGGGCAGGCGGUGAGUGCAGGCUGUGCCUGCUAUCAGCUGCUGUGCCUCGAGCCCUUGACCUCGUUCGAGGACGUCUCGAAGAUGGGGAAACUGAGGCCCAGAGAGAGGGAACCUCCCUUUUCAGUUACAGUAAGAGAAGAGGUCAUGCUGACUGGUGACAACCAGCCCCCCGUCUGGGACACCCCAGAGGAGAAGAGUCGCCACUGAGAAGCGUCCCCUCUGGGUGUGUCCCUGGGGGAUGAAGGCCAGCUGCCCUCCCUCCGGUGGAGCACCAGAGGGCGCUUCCCUCCCCCUUCUCACCCAGAGCCCCCUGGUCUCAAGGCCAGAGCAGCAAAGCCGUCGGUACCCCAGCGCGCGCCUGGGGAAUAUCUAGGGCAUCGCAGAGAGGCUGAGCGCGGAGGAGCAAAUGUCAGCAAAGGGUCAGGCGGGGGCCUGGGAGUCACAGCUCCGGGGUCCUGGAUGGAACGCCUCCCAAGCAGAGGAGAGGGUAGAGGGGGCUCCACGGGAGGAGGGCUGACCUGGAAAGCUCCCCCAUGGGGGAGGCCGGCUCUCCACUGAGACCCCAGGAUGCCCUGUGUCCUCUCCUCCCUCAGCUGCUGACUUGGCUCAGACUGCACGCCACUGAAGCAGAAGUCAGUUUCAAGUUGAGGAGGAAGAUGGAUUUUCCCAGAGGCUCUUGGCCUCCUCCCUGGAAAGAGGCAGCUGCGGAUGCGGGUAACUCCUGAGGAGCCCCGAGGUUCCACCCCCUGGCUGCUGGCGGGAGAUGCUGACCGGGCCAUCCCAAGACCCGCCAGCUCCAAGCCCCACGGAGCCAGGAGAGCUGGCGGCCCCACAGCACCAGGUGCCAGGAAUCACUGGGGUGACUCCAGGCCUGGAGCCCAGGGGCAGUUUGGUGCUGUGGUCACCACAGGACAGUGGACGCACUGAUGGGUUGCGGAUCCUGACUCCUCCAUUUGACCUGUAAAAUGGGGUUCCAGCACCCCCAGUUCUUCACGGCUGCCCAGGUCCGUGCCCUUGUCCUGGGGAGCUUAUGUUGGACAGAGUCGGUGUGCCUUUGGAAGGAAAGAUGAAUAAACCAGAGACUAGGGACCCUCCUGGUCUUAUCAGGACAGUAGGGCUGCCCUCCUGAGACUAGGGCUCCCGCCGGGCCUGAGCUCAGGCCCACCUUCCGGCCCCAAGCGGCAUCACAGCAAGGGGGGUGGGUGGGACCAGGAAACCCCCUUCUGCCCACUCUGCUCCCAGGAAAGGCAAUCCCCACCCUGAGGGGCUCCAGGAGCCCAGAGACCCUGUGUCCUGAGCCCCAGCUCCACCCUGUGUGGGCAGGCGCACUUGUUCACUGUGGCUGGACCCCUGUCCCUGUCACUGCAUGGAGGUGUCACCCAGGCCUGGCCCCUCCCAAAGGGACAGUCCACUCUGCCCUUGACCCAGCCCCCUCCCUUCAAGUGAGGGUCCUGUGGCCAAAGGCACCCCUUCUCCCCGGCCCCAGCUGCCCAGGAUGGCCAGGCGCCCUCCCUCCCAGCCCCAGCGAGGGGUGGGUGACAGGAAGGACUUACAGCUGAUGCCCUUCUUGCCGUGACACACCUCCGGUUUCCACAUCACUGGCCCGUCAGUACCGGCAGGACUAUCUGACAAACAGAGGCCUCUCUCCACCGAAUUUUUUAAAAGGCAUAUAAAAUAUUUACCUGAUCAUUUUUGCUACCUGAAGAAAAUAAUUUGCUUUCCGUCCUCAGGAGCCACGACCCCCUCAGCUCUGGGAAGUGAUGGCCAGCCCCCCGCAAUUCCCUGAUGGCACACAGGGUGGGGUCUGACCACAGACCAUGGGAACUUUAUUUUCCAAGAUGUCAGCCUGGCUGGGGCCCCUGCCUGGGUGCCCACCCACGUGGGUGGGUUUUCACUGCCUGGUCUGCCUCAUGCUUUUUACUGUGUUUUACUUCCUUAUUGGUGAAAUGAUUAAAGAUUUGUUUGAUGUUUUUAAAGUAAAAC
rnacentral:lncRNA from 1 species